rnacentral:rRNA from 1 species
CCUACGGGGGGCAGCAGUGGGGAAUAUUGCGCAAUGGGCGAAAGCCUGACGCAGCGACGCCGCGUGAGGGAUGAAGGUCUUCGGAUCGUAAACCUCUGUCAGCAGGGAAGUACGGUCACUGUGCUAAUCAGCAGUGAAUUGACGGUACCUGCAAAGGAAGCACCGGCUAACUCCGUGCCAGCCGCCGCGGUAAUACGGAGGGUGCGAGCGUUAAUCGGAAUUACUGGGCGUAAAGCGCUCGUAGGCGGUAUGUCAAGUCAAGGGUGAAAUCCCCGCGCUCAACGUGGGAACUGCCUUUGAAACUGGCCAACUGGAGAGUGUGAGAGGAUAGUGGAAUUCCAGGUGUAGGAGUGAAAUCCGUAGAUAUCUGGAGGAACAUCAGUGGCGAAGGCGACUAUCUGGCACAUAACUGACGCUGAGGAGCGAAAGCGUGGGUAGCAAACAGGAUUAGAUACCCCUGUAGUC